UUCGUGAAUUUUUGAUAUAUUUUAAUUAAUUUGUAAAAUAAAUAAACUAAUUCUAAUCAUUACUGAAUAUCUUAAACGAAUAAAAAUUCAUCAAUACUUACGAGAUAUUUCUGAAAUUAAAAAACUGCACCGUUUAUGCUUGAAGUAAAAGCAUCGAUAAAAAAGCACUUGAAGAUAGAAAUAAUUGCAUUUUUUGAUAACAUUUCAAGAUCAUUUUUUACGAUAAGUAUCUAAAAUUUUUUAUUAUUAUUAUUCAGCCUAUAUCGUAACUUUUAUGACUAAAUAUGUCCUUAUUUUAUUGUUGAAAUUCCGACUUUUUUACAAAUUAAAUGUUUCAUCUAAUUGAGUAUCAUUUUAUUGACAGUACAAAACAUAAAUGCUCCUUUCAUAACGUAUGUGUGCGUGGUUUAUAACAAAUUAAUGUUAAAGUAAUCAAUCGUCGCAAGAACAGUUUGCUAUUGAUCAAUAUUUAUCUUAUUUAGAACUGAAAAAAUAUAUAUUUAUUUAAAAAAAUCAGUUUGAUAUCUAUGAUAUAAAUAUAAGAGAGAUCAAAUCGAAUUUAGCUCUGUUCCUUUUGAUUUCAAACUUUCUUAUUGACUUCAAUUCCCAACUUCAAGAUGAACUCACGAAUUGCUACCUUCUUGUUCUUUAUUUUUGCUGCAUUAGCUAUUUCAGCUACGUUUGCUAACGUUCAAGUGUAUUCCAACAUAGAUGACGCUGAUUUGGACUCUGAAACUAAAAAACGAGUCAAAGCUAUCAUAGCCCAGAUGAUGCAAAAUCAAUAUGGUGCUUAACUCUGAUGGUGUGUUUUGAAACAAGAAUCGAGAUAUGAAAGCAAUAAAUGAAGUCUUUAAGAAGAUGUACCACAAAUUGUAUUGUUAUACUAACCUUAAAUAAUUGACGAAUAAAUUGAAUUUUGCUAUGUUG